GGCUGUCACAAUAUGAAAGCAUCAAAUUCUUACUCUAACACUUACUUAUGAACAUUAGGUAUUUUUGCCGAUUAUGUCAAUAUACUCGUUUUCACUUAAAAUCGACUAGCAAAAGUUGUUUAACAUAAUUUCUAGCUUCAUAUUCUACCAUAAAACAUCAAAAUAAACAUAUUUCACCUAUGGGUAUUUCCAAAUAUAAACCUUAGGUUAAAUUAUUGCUAGAAUAAGCUAAAUUAAGCUACCAGGAUUCCAAUAACGUAAAGAACAUUAAAAACGGGGCUAGAACAGACUUAAAAUCGAGCUUGGAAGUUUGAAAAACCCUAGCCAUGGUUUUCCCUUGAGAAAUUCGGCCAUGGGGUUGAAGAUGAACAAAAAUUGGCUUUUAAUUUUGUUUUUAAUUCAUUUUAAUAACUAAAUGACCAAAAUGCCCUUAAUGAAAAACUUUGGAAACAUGCCUAACCAU
rnacentral:lncRNA from 1 species